GUUAAGCGACUAAGCGUACACGGUGGAUGCCCUGGCAGUCAGAGGCGAUGAAGGACGUGCUAAUCUGCGAUAAGCGUCGGUAAGGUGAUAUGAACCGUUAUAACCGGCGAUUUCCGAAUGGGGAAACCCAGUGUGUUUCGACACACUAUCAUUAACUGAAUCCAUAGGUUAAUGAGGCGAACCGGGGGAACUGAAACAUCUAAGUACCCCGAGGAAAAGAAAUCAACCGAGAUUCCCCCAGUAGCGGCGAGCGAACGGGGAGGAGCCCAGAGCCUGAAUCAGUGUGUGUGUUAGUGGAAGCGUCUGGAAAGGCGCGCGAUACAGGGUGACAGCCCCGUACACAAAAAUGCACAUAUUGUGAGCUCGAUGAGUAGGGCGGGACACGUGGUAUCCUGUCUGAAUAUGGGGGGACCAUCCUCCAAGGCUAAAUACUCCUGACUGACCGAUAGUGAACCAGUACCGUGAGGGAAAGGCGAAAAGAACCCCGGCGAGGGGAGUGAAAAAGAACCUGAAACCGUGUACGUACAAGCAGUGGGAGCCUCUUUUAUGGGGUGACUGCGUACCUUUUGUAUAAUGGGUCAGCGACUUAUAUUCUGUAGCAAGGUUAACCGAAUAGGGGAGCCGAAGGGAAACCGAGUCUUAACUGGGCGUUAAGUUGCAGGGUAUAGACCCGAAACCCGGUGAUCUAGCCAUGGGCAGGUUGAAGGUUGGGUAACACUAACUGGAGGACCGAACCGACUAAUGUUGAAAAAUUAGCGGAUGACUUGUGGCUGGGGGUGAAAGGCCAAUCAAACCGGGAGAUAGCUGGUUCUCCCCGAAAGCU
rnacentral:rRNA from 1 species